UGCAGUUAAAAGCUCGUAGUCGGAUUUCAGGAUUAGUGUCGCCUAUACUGGGUGUACUCUACCCUUCUUAACGAACAGCUAUCAUUUUAUUAAGUAAUGUGGUAGUCUAUCGUUCUUUUACUUUGAGAAAAUUAGAGUGUUCAAAGCAGGUUUUUGCCCGAAUAUUACUCUUGGAAUAAUACUAUAGGACCUUUAGACUUAUUUGAUGGUGAGUAGGACUGAGGUAAUGAUUGAUAGGGACGGUUGGGGUCAUUCGUACUGUAAAGCGAGCGGUGAAAUGCUUGGACCUUUAUAUGACGACCUACUGCGAAAGCAUUUGACUAGGACGUUCCCGUUGAUCAAGAACGAAAGUUGGGGGAUCGAAGACGAUCAGAUACCGUCGUAGUCUCAACCAUAAACUAUGCCAGCUAGGGAUUGGAAGUCGAUCUUAUUUAUGACACUUUCAGCACCUUAUGAGAAAUCAAAGCAUUUGGGUUCCGGGGGGAGUAUGGUCGCAAGGCUGAAACUUAAAGGAAUUGACGGGAGGGCACCACCAGGAGUGGAGCCUGCGGCUUAAUUUGAUUCAACACGGGAAAACUUACCAGGUCCGGACAAAGUAAGGAUUGACAGAUUGAAAGCUCUUUCUUGAUUCUUUGGGUGGUGGUGCAUGGCCGUUCUUAGUUGGUGGAGUGAUUUGUCUGGUUAAUUCCGUUAACGAACGAGACCUCAGCCUGCUAAAUAGUGUUUUCAUCUUUGGAUGCUUAUACUUCUUAGAGGGACUACUUAUGCUAUAACUGAGCGGAAGCUUGAGGCAAUAACAGGUCUGUGAUGCCCUUAGAUGUUCUGGGCCGCACGCGGGCUACACUGGUGAUCUCAACAAGCCUUCACUUGGUUGAAAAGCCAGGUUAAUCUUUGAAAUAUCACCGUGCUUGGGAUAGACUAUUGCAAUUUUUAGUCUUCAACGAGGAAUUCCUAGUAAACGCGAGUCAUCAGCUCGCAUUGAUUACGUCCCUGCCCUUUGUACACACCGCCCGUCGCUCCUACCGAUUGGAUGAUUCGGUAAGCAUUUGAGAUCUGGUCUGACUCUCCUAACGGAGCUUCUGACUGGAGAACUUAUCAAACCUA
rnacentral:rRNA from 1 species